rnacentral:rRNA from 1 species
CAAUAGCGUAUAUUAAAGUUGUUGCAGUUAAAAAGCUCGUAGUUGGAUUUCUGGCAGGAGCGACCGGUCACACACUCUGUGUGUGAACUUGCGUUGUCUCUGGCCAUCCUUGGGAAGAUCCUGUCUGGCAUUAAGUUGUCGGGCAGGGGAUACCCAUCGUUUACUGUGAAAAAAUUAGAGUGUUUAAAGCAGGCUUAUGCCGUUGAAUAUAUUAGCAUGGAAUAAUAAGAUAGGACUUCGGAACUAUUUUGUUGGUUUGCGUUACGAAGUAAUGAUUAAUAGGGACAGUUGGGGGUAUCCGUAUUUCGUUGUCAGAGGUGAAAUUCUUGGAUUUCCGAAAGACGAACUACUGCGAAAGCAUUUACCAAGGAUGUUUUCAUUA